AUUGAACGCUGGCGGUAUGCUUAACACAUGCAAGUCGAACGGAAACGAUACUAGCUUGCUAGUAGGCGUCGAGUGGCGGACGGGUGAGUAACGCGUAGGAAUCUGCCUGAUAGUGGGGGAUAGCCCGAAGAAAUUCGGAUUAAUACCGCAUAAUCUAUUCGUAGUAAAGUGGGGGACUUUCGAGCCUCACGCUAUCAGAUGAGCCUGCGUAAGAUUAGCUUGUUGGUAGGGUAAAAGCCUACCAAGGCGACGAUCUUUAGCUGGUCUGAGAGGAUGAUCAGCCACAUCGGGACUGAGACACGGCCCGAACUCCUACGGGAGGCAGCAGUGGGGAAUAUUGGACAAUGGGGGCAACCCUGAUCCAGCAAUACCGCGUGUGUGAAGAAGGCCUGAGGGUUGUAAAGCACUUUCAAUUGUGAAGAAAAGUUAGCGGUUAAUAACCGUUAGCCUUGACGUUAACUUUAGAAGAAGCACCGGCUAACUCCGUGCCAGCAGCCGCGGUAAUACGGAGGGUGCAAGCGUUAAUCAGAAUUACUGGGCGUAAAGCGUGCGUAGGCGGUUUAUUAAGUCAGAUGUGAAAGCCCCGGGCUUAACCUGGGAACUGCAUUUGAAACUGGUCAACUAGAGUAUGGUAGAGGAAAGUGGAAUUUCUGGUGUAGCGGUGAAAUGCGUAGAUAUCAGAAGGAACAUCAAUGGCGAAGGCAGCUUUCUGGACCAAUACUGACGCUGAGGUACGAAAGCGUGGGUAGCAAACAGGAUUAGAUACCCUGGUAGUCCACGCCGUAAACGAUGAUAACUAGCCGUUGGGGGGAUUUACCCUUUAGUGGCGAAGCUAACGCGUUAAGUUAUCCGCCUGGGGAGUACGGCCGCAAGGUUAAAACUCAAAGGAAUUGACGGGGACCCGCACAAGCGGUGGAGCAUGUGGUUUAAUUCGAUGCAACGCGAAGAACCUUACCUGGUCUUGACAUCCUGCGAACUUUCUAGAAAUAGAUUGGUGCCUUCGGGAACGCAGUGACAGGUGCUGCAUGGCUGUCGUCAGCUCGUGUCGUGAGAUGUUGGGUUAAGUCCCGUAACGAGCGCAACCCCUAUCCUUAUUUGCCAGCACAUCAUGGUGGGAACUAUAAGGAGACUGCCGGUGAUAAACCGGAGGAAGGCGGGGACGACGUCAAGUCAUCAUGGCCCUUACGACCAGGGCUACACACGUGCUACAAUGGGAAGGACAAAGAGCCGCGAAGCCGCGAGGUGUAGCUAAUCUCAUAAACCUUUUCGUAGUCCGGAUUGGAGUCUGCAACUCGACUCCAUGAAGUCGGAAUCGCUAGUAAUCGUAGAUCAGAAUGCUACGGUGAAUACGUUCCCGGGUCU
rnacentral:rRNA from 1 species